rnacentral:lncRNA from 1 species
UUUGAUUUUGCUGAAGUUCUUCCUGCACCGAUAAAUGGUAAGCAACUUAUGUUUGAAAUUUGAUUUUACUCCUAAAGAAAAGUAAGAUAAUUACCAUUGAAAAAAAAAUAACAUUCUGGCAUAAAUGGUAGUUCAAUUUGAUUUUGUCUUACUGCACUAUUAAACGAUAAGCAACUUAUAUCUGCCUGAGAUUUGGUCCUGCUCCUAGAAAAUAGUAAGGUAAUAACUCUUGAAAAAUGUUAGAAAGACAGUUCGGCAUAAAAUGGUACCUAACCUUAAAAUAUGAUUAAGCAUAUAACAAUCAUCAUUUAGUUGCAACUUAUUUGCAAAAUACAUUUUUUUUUUGGGCUAGGAGUUUUUUCAAGGUAACACGAAUACAAUAUUUUCUUGAUUUCAAUACCUACAAGUACACUGCCAUUAUUUGGCAGCACACUUAAUAUAGCAUAUGCACAUACUUGUACAUCCUUAUACAGGGAUGCGUCAGAAUGGG